UACGUAGGUGGCAAGCGUUGUCCGGAAUUAUUGGGCGUAAAGCGCGCGCAGGCGGUCCUUUAAGUCUGAUGUGAAAGCCCUCGGCUCAACCGAGGAGGGUCAUUGGAAACUGGAGGACUUGAGUGCAGAAGAGGAAAGUGGAAUUCCAAGUGUAGCGGUGAAAUGCGUAGAGAUUUGGAGGAACACCAGUGGCGAAGGCGACUUUCUGGUCUGUAACUGACGCUGAGGCACGAAAGCGUGGGGAGCGAACAGG
rnacentral:rRNA from 1 species